rfam:Oryza glumipatula chromosome 3, whole genome shotgun sequence.
AAUAGAUGACGCCGUCGACUUUUUCUCACAUGUUUGACCAUUCGUCUUAUUCAAAAAAUUUACGUAAUUAUAAUUUAUUUUGUUAUGAGUUGUUUUAUCACUCAUAAUACUGUAAGUGUGAUUUAUAUCUCAUACAUUUGCAUAAAAAUUUUGAAUAAGACGAAUAGUCAAACAUGUGAGAAAAAGUCAACGGCGUCAUCUAUU